AAGGAUCAUUACAGUAUAAUGGAGGUGCGAUGGCUGUUGCUGACCCUUCAAAGGUCGUGCACGCUUGAGCUCUCUCUCACACACAUCCACCUCACCCUUUGUGCAUUGCCGCGUGGGUCCUCCUUGUAGGGGGGCUUGCGUUUUUCACAUAAAACUAGAUGUGGUAUAGAAUGUCUUUUAUUUUUGCGGUUACACGCAAUCAAUAUAACUUUCAACAACGGAUCUCUUGGCUCUCGCAUCGAUGAAGAACGCAGCGAAAUGCGAUACGUAAUGUGAAUUGCAGAAUUCAGUGAAUCAUCGAAUCUUUGAACGCACCUUGCGCCCCUUGGCAUUCCGAGGGGCACACCCGUUUGAGUGUCGUGAAAUCCUCAAAACCCUUGUUCUUCGAUUGGAGAAAAAGGGUUUUGGACUUGGAGGAUCAAUGCUUGCUCUUACUUUUGAAGGCAAGCUCCUCUCAAAUAAAUUAGUGAGGUUCGCUUUGCUGAUCCUUAACGGUGAUAAGACAUCUCUACGUUUUGGAUUUGGUGACUGUCCCUUGCUUCUAACUGUCCUAUGGACGAUGAUGGGUGCCCCGGUCACCACCUUACAUUGGUGGGAGGCUGGACCCACAAAAAGGACCUUGA
rnacentral:rRNA from 1 species